UGGGUCGAUGGUGUUGUGCCUCGGCAGCUGGGAUCAUGCAAGGCAGAUGGGAAGCAGCAGUGCCGCCUCUCCCCCCGAGCUCCAGAUACAUGAUAGCAGCAUCGAGGUGAGCAGUGGCAAAGGUUCCCACCUGAACAUAUCGAGCCGUGACACCAGUACGGCCACAACCUCCAAUACUACUACGACUGAUGGCUAUCCUCUACCCGAGGAGAAAAACUGCAUUCAGAGGUUACGGAAUGGCAAUGGUUGGGUUACCUCCCAGGAGCAGAUGAUUGGCAUGGUUAGUGAUCACUAGGCCAUGAAUCUCAUGGAUCCCAUGAUACAGGUAUCUGGUCCAGAUCCGACGGAGACAAGCAAAAUCGUGAUGCUGCUUCUUCUUUCGAUUGUAAGUGAAUCCUUUGAUGACA